UACGUAGGGUGCGAGCGUUUAAUCGGAAUUACUGGGCGUAAAGCGUGCGCAGGCGGCGCCGCAAGUCGAGUGUGAAAUCCCCGAGCUUAACUUGGGAAUUGCGCUCGAAACUACGGUGCUGGAGUGUGGCAGAGGGAGGUGGAAUUCCACGUGUAGCGGUGAAAUGCGUAGAGAUGUGGAGGAACACCGAUGGCGAAGGCAGCCUCCUGGGCCAAUACUGACGCUCAUGCACGGAAGCGUGGGGAGCGAACAGG
rnacentral:rRNA from 1 species